rnacentral:rRNA from 1 species
CGAAUCAACGCUGGCGGCGUGCCUCAGACAUGCAAGUCGAACGCGAAAGUCCCCUUCGGGGGACAAGUAGAGUGGCGCACGGGUGAGUAACACGUAGGUAAUCUACCUUCGGAUGGGGAAUAACAACCGGAAACGGUUGCUAAUACCGCAUAAUGCAGCGGCACCUAAUGGUGACAGUUGUUAAAGCGGGGGAUCGAAAGACCUCGCGUCUGAAGAGGAGCCUGCGGCGGAUUAGCUAGUUGGUAAGGUAAUGGCUUACCAAGGCUACGAUCC